rnacentral:rRNA from 1 species
GAUGAACGCUGGCGGCGUGCCUAAUACAUGCAAGUCGAGCGAAUGGAUUAAGAGCUUGCUCUUAUGAAGUUAGCGGCGGACGGGUGAGUAACACGUGGGUAACCUGCCCAUAAGACUGGGAUAACUCCGGGAAACCGGGGCUAAUACCGGAUAACAUUUUGAACCGCAUGGUUCGAAAUUGAAAGGCGGCUUCGGCUGUCACUUAUGGAUGGACCCGCGUCGCAUUAGCUAGUUGGUGAGGUAACGGCUCACCAAGGCAACGAUCCGUAGCCGACCUGAGAGGGGGAGCGGCCACACUGGGACUGGGACACGGCCCAGACUCCUGCGGGAGGCAGCAGUAGGGAAUCUUCCGCAAUGGACGAAAGUCUGACGGAGCAACGCCGCGUGGGUGAUGAAGGCUUUCGGGUCGUAAAACUCUGUUGUUAGGGAAGAACAAGUGCUAGUUGAAUAAGCUGGCGCCUUGACGGUACCUAACCAGAAAGCCACGGCUAACUACGUGCCAGCCGCCGCAGUAA